rnacentral:rRNA from 1 species
GAUGAACGCUAGCUACAGGCUUAACACAUGCAAGUCGAGGGGAAACGACAUCGAAAGCUUGCUUUUGAUUGGCGUCGACCGGCGCACGGGUGAGUAACGCGUAUCCAACCUGCCCAUCACUUGGGAAUAACCUUGCGAAAGUAAGACUAAUACCCAAUGAUAUCCCACGAAGGCAUCGGAAUGGGAUUAAAGAUUUAUCGGUGAUGGAUGGGGAUGCGUCUGAUUAGCUUGUUGGCGGGGUAACGGCCCACCAAGGCAACGAUCAGUAGGGGUUCUGAGAGGAAGGUCCCCCACAUUGGAACUGAGACACGGUCCAAACUCCUACGGGAGGCAGCAGUGAGGAAUAUUGGUCAAUGGGCGAGGGCCUGAACCAGCCAAGUAGCGUGCAGGAAGACGGCCCUAUGGGUUGUAAACUGCUUUUAUAAGGGAAUAAAGUGGGUCACGUGUGACUUUUUGCAUGUACCUUAUGAAUAAGGACCGGCUAAUUCCGUG